rnacentral:rRNA from 1 species
GAGAGUAGGGAUCUUCCGCAAGGACGAAGUCUGACGGAGCAACGCCGCGUGAGUGAUGAAGGUUUUCGGAUCGUAAAGCUCUGUUGUUAGGGAAGAACAAGUGCCGUUCAAAUAGGGCGGCACCUUGACGGUACCUAACCAGAAAGCCACGGCUAACUACGUGCCAGCAGCCGCGGUAAUACGUAGGUGGCAAGCGUUGUCCGGAAUUAUUGGCGUAAAGGGCUCCAGCUUUCUUUCAACGGGGG